rnacentral:rRNA from 1 species
UACGGGGGGAGCAAGCGUUGUUCGGAUUUACUGGGCGUAAAGGGCGCGUAGGCGGUCAGUGCAAGUCAGUUGUGAAAUCUCCGGGCUUAACUCGGAAAGGUCAACUGAUACUGCUCGACUAGAGUGCGGAAGGGGCAACUGGAAUUCUUGGUGUAGCGGUGAAAUGCGUAGAUAUCAAGAGGAACACCUGCGGCGAAGGCGGGUUGCUGGGCCGACACUGACGCUGAAGUGCGAAAGCCAGGGGAGCGAAUGGG